UGUUCUGUGGCUUAGUUGGUUAAAGCACCGGUCUAGCGAAUACGGGGUCGUGAGUUCGAAUCCUUUCAGAACGC
rfam:Aedes albopictus isolate Foshan contig63167, whole genome shotgun sequence.